rnacentral:rRNA from 1 species
UGGGGAAUAUUGGACAAUGGGCGCAAGCCUGAUCCAGCCAUGCCGCGUGAGUGAUGAAGGCCCUAGGGUUGUAAAGCUCUUUCACCGGUGAAGCGGUAACCGGAGAAGAAGCCCCGGCUAACUUCGUGCCAGCAGCCGCGGUAAUACGAAGGGGGCUAGCGUUGUUCGGAAUUACUGGGCGUAAAGCGCACGUAGGCGGAUUGUUAAGUGAGGGGUGAAAUCCCAGGGCUCAACCCUGGAACUGCCUUUCAUACUGGCAAUCUCGAGUCCGAGAGAGGUGAGUGGAAUUCCGAGUGUAGAGGUGAAAUUCGUAGAUAUUCGGAGGAACACCAGUGGCGAAGGCGGCUCACUGGCUCGGUACUGACGCUGAGGUGCGAAAGCGUGGGGAGCAAACAGGAUUAGAUACCCCAGUAGU